GUGCCAGCCGCCGCGGUAAUACGUAGGUGGCAAGCGUUGUCCGGAUUUAUUGGGCGUAAAGCGAGCGCAGGCGGUUUCUUAAGUCUGAUGUGAAAGCCUUCGGCUCAACCGAAGAAGUGCAUCGGAAACUGGGAAACUUGAGUGCAGAAGAGGACAGUGGAACUCCAUGUGUAGCGGUGAAAUGCGUAGAUAUAUGGAAGAACACCAGUGGCGAGGGCGGCUGUCUGGUCUGUAACUGACGCUGAGGCUCGAAAGCAUGGGUAGCAAACAGGAUUAGAUACCCUGGUAGUCCAUGCCGUAAACGAUGAGUGCUAGGUGUUGGAGGGUUUCCGCCCUUCAGUGCCGCAGCUAACGCAUUAAGCACUCCGCCUGGGGAGUACGACCGCAAGGUUGAAACUCAAAGGAAUUGACGGGGGCCCGCACAAGCGGUGGAGCAUGUGGUUUAAUUCGAAGCAACGCGAAGAACCUUACCAGGUCUUGACAUCCUUUGACCACUCUAGAGAUAGAGCUUUCCCUUCGGGGACAAAGUGACAGGUGGUGCAUGGUUGUCGUCAGCUCGUGUCGUGAGAUGUUGGGUUAAGUCCCGCAACGAGCGCAACCCUUAUUACUAGUUGCCAGCAUUUAGUUGGGCACUCUAGUGAGACUGCCGGUGACAAACCGGAGGAAGGUGGGGACGACGUCAAAUCAUCAUGCCCCUUAUGACCUGGGCUACACACGUGCUACAAUGGAUGGUACAACGAGUCGCGAGACCGCGAGGUUUAGCUAAUCUCUUAAAACCAUUCUCAGUUCGGAUUGUAGGCUGCAACUCGCCUACAUGAAGCCGGAAUCGCUAGUAAUCGCGGAUCAGCAUGCCGCGGUGAAUACGUUCCCGGGCCUUGUACACACCGCCCGU
rnacentral:rRNA from 1 species